GAUGGACAGGGGGCGGGACGGGGACGCGCCCACGUGGCGCCAACUGGGCGGAGUCGGCAGGAUGGGAGGCCGGGCCGGAAGUGAGGAGACACCUGUGAGCCUUGGGAUCUGAAGAAGUAUGAAGAGACCUGAACUCCUCUCUUAAGGAGAUGAGAGACGUUUCUGUCACUGGUUAUGGCCUCACUCCAGAAUAAAAGCCAAGUCCUCAUGUC